rnacentral:rRNA from 1 species
AACGAACGCUGGCGGCAUGCCUAACACAUGCAAGUCGAACGAGACCUUCCUUUCUAGUGGCGCACGGGUGCGUAACGCAUGUGAACCUGCCCUUAGGUUCUGAAUAACUCCCCGACAGGGGUGCUAAUACCGGUUAAUGUCUUCGGACCAAAGAUUUAUCGCCUUUGGAUGGGCCCGCGUUGGAUUAGCUAGUUGGUAGGGUAAAAGCCUACCAAGGCGCCGAUCCAUAGCUGGUCUGAGAGGAUGAUCAGCCACACUGGGACUGAGACACGGCCCAGAAUCCUACGGGAGGCAGCAGUGGGGAAUAUUGGACAAUGGGCGAAAGCCUGAUACAGCAAUGCCGCGGGAGUGAUGAAGGGCUUAGGGUUGUAAAGCUCUUUUAGCAGGGAUGAUAAUGACAGUAACGGGAGAAGAAGCUCCGGCUAACUACGUG